rnacentral:tRNA from 1 species
CUCAGACUCCUCACCACUUUUAAAGGAUAAAAGAAAAUCCAUUGGUUUUAGGACCAAAAAUCU